rnacentral:rRNA from 1 species
CCUACGGGGGGCAGCAGUGAGGAAUAUUGGUCAAUGGGCGGGAGCCUGAACCAGCCAAGUCGCGUGAGGGAAGACGGUCCUACGGAUUGUAAACCUCUUUUGCCGGGGAGCAACGGGGUCCUUGCGAGGGCCCGAUGAGAGUACCCGGAGAAAAAGCAUCGGCUAACUCCGUGCCAGCAGCCGCGGUAAUACGGAGGAUGCGAGCGUUAUCCGGAUUUACUGGGUGUAAAGGGUGCGUAGGCGGCUUUGCAAGUCAGAAGUGAAAUCCAUGGGCUUAACCCAUGAACUGCUUUUGAAACUGCAGAGCUUGAGUGGAGUAGAGGUAGGCGGAAUUCCCGGUGUAGCGGUGAAAUGCGUAGAGAUCGGGAGGAACACCAGUGGCGAAGGCGGCCUACUGGGCUCUAACUGACGCGGAGGCACGAAAGCGUGGGUAGCAAACAGGAGUAGAUACCCGGGUAGUC